UACAGAGGGUGCAAGCGUUAAUCGGAAUUACUGGGCGUAAAGCGCACGUAGGUGGGUGCUUAAGUCGAAUGUGAAACCCCUGAGCUUAACUUGGGGACUGCAUGCGAUACUGAACACCUAGAGUAUAGUAGAGGGAAGUGGAAUUUCCGGAGUAGCGGUGAAAUGCGUAGAGAUGUGGAGGAACACCAGUGGUCGAAGGCGACUCUCUGGCUGUAAACUGACGCUGAGGCGCGAAAGCGUGGGUAGCAAACAGG
rnacentral:rRNA from 1 species